rnacentral:lncRNA from 1 species
AGACAGCAUCUCGCUAUGUUGCCUAGGCAGCCUUGAACUCCUGGGCUCAAGCAGUCCCCUCACCUUGGGCUCCCAAUGUAGGCAUGAGCUACUGGGCCCAAGCAGGCAACUUUCUAAAAAUGCAAAUUCACCAGCCAAAUAGUAGGUCUCCUGAAUCUGACUAGGUGGAGGCUGUGAAUUAGAGAAUCUAACUUUUGUAAAUGUGUUUUUAGGUGAUUUUUUAAAUUUUUUAAAUAAAAUGAGAUGGGGUCUUGCUAUACUGCCAAGGCUGGAACUCCUGGCCUCAAGCGAAUCUCCAGUCUCAGCUUCCCAAAGUGCUGGGAUUACAGGCAUGAGCCACUAUAUCUGGGCAGUUUCAGGUGAUUUUGAAAUAUACCAAAAGCUAGAAACAACUGCACUAGCUCACCAAAGUGCCACAAUGGCAACCUUCAUGAAAUAACUCAUAGUCUGGAAGUUAAAGGCUUAAAUUCCAGUUAAUUGAUUAACUAAAAUGUACUUAAUACCCCAUUCUCUCUCUCUCUCUCUCUCUCUCUCUCUACUCCUCCCCAUCUCAAAGAAAUAAUAAGAAAAAAAUAGAUCUAGAAUUUGCUACAGAAAAGAAAAAAGAGCUGCUGCUUUGUGCCACCUUCACAUGAAAAAACUAAAAGAUCACUGAUAUUUCUACCAUGAUUACUCUAAGGCAGAGUUGGACCUUUGCUAAAAGACACAUUAAAGUUGGAAUUUAGAGUUGAAAGGAAUAGUUCUAUCUCUAGCAUGCCUCUCAUUUUACAGAGGGGAAAAAAAUCCUGUUUUUUUCAGCUUUCUCUUUAACUCAGUUGACAUUUGUAAUAUUCAAUCAGUAAAUAUUUGUGGUCUACUACUGUGGGUGCAACAGAAUUGUGUAUUAUAAUACCACAAUAUUAGAACUGAAGGGACUGUGAAUAUCCCAAUUUCACAGAUGAGGAAACCGAAGUCCAGAAAUUUAGUGAAUUGCCCAAGGUUAACAGAAUUAUUUAAUGGCAGAAGUUGUUACCUAGGACAAAAACCAAGUUACUUAUCUCUCAAGCAUUGUAUUUUCACUACACCAAAAGCUAAGUUUUUGUUCUUAAAUUUAUAAUUCAUAGAAAUCAGUGUAUUAGCUUCAAGCCCUAGGAAUAGAUCUAUAGUCUAGUUGUAAUUCUUACAUUUAAUUAGCUAUCUGACUUUGAACAAAUAACCAUAAAACAGAAAUAAACCCUACCCUUCCUAGGUCACAGCAAUAUGUAAAGAACCACCACCAAAAAAAACUGUGGCUGGGCACGAUGGCUCACACCUGUGAUCCCAGCACUUUGGGAGGCAGAGGUGAGCAGAUCACCUGAGCUCAGGAGUUCGACACCAGCCUGGGCAACAUGGUGAGACCUCAUCUCUAUGAAAAAAAAGAAAAGGAAAAAAAACUUGUGAAGAAAAUACAUAUGAAAAUAAUUUUAGAAAACUGUGAAAUUAUGUAGAACUAAGAUACACUUUCAUAUUUUUUCCUAGAGGCAAACAGGUACUGGUUUUUAAAUCUUGUAAAUGCUGCCCCUAAACAGUGUGCAGUGAAUAUCAUUGUUCUAGGUUACAAAAUGAGUUACCAUGCAUAAUUCAUUUCCAAUAUUAAAUUAAUACCACCUUGUUAGAUAAUAUCUAGCAAAUAAAAGAUUAUUUGUCAACAGCAUCAUUGGCUUUCCAUGGAGUAUUAAGGCAUGAAUAAGGUGAUCAUAGAACUUCCUUCCACUUAAAAGAUCUAAAAACUUCAAAGUGAAAACUUCCAUUUAAAAGUAACAGAACCACUCCCCAAAUAAAAACCUUUUAGUCAAAAUCUCCUCUAAAGUGUGAAGUUUAAUUAAGAGCAUUGUACAAAUGUUAGUUCCUUAGUUGUGACAAAUGUACCAUAAAUAUAAGGUGAUGUUAACCAAAGGGGAACUGGGGGAGGGGUGUAGAAACUCUUGGUAUUACCUUUGCAACUUUUCUACAAAUCUAAAACUAUUAGAAAAUAAAAUAUUUUAAAAAUUGAAAAUAAAUCUCUAUGGCCAUUUUGGAUAGUUUAGAGAUUUCUAUUAAACAAGUAACUCCAAGUUAGUAUUAUAAUAAUAGUCUGCUUUGCUUACAACUGUGUAGUAAAAAAUGUUAAUUUGGCCGGAUGCAGUAGCUCAUGCCUGUAAUCCCAGCACUUUAAGAGGCCAAAGCAGGCAGAUCACUUGAGCCCAGGAGUUUGAGACCAGUCUGAGAAACAUGGCAAAACCCUGUCUCUACAAAAAAUACAAAACAAAAUUAGCAGGUCGUAGUGGUGCAUGCCUGUAGUCUGAGCUACUUGGGAGGCUGAGCUGAAAGGAUCAAUUGAGUCCAGGAGUCUGAAGCUGCAGUGAGCCAUGCCACCGCAGUCCAGGCCUGGACAAGAGUGAGAUCCUGUCUCCAAAAAAAAAGUUACUUUAAUUUAGCGCUUCAAAGUAAUAUGUUUGAGUGCUUAAGUUAUCUUACUUCCACAAAAAUCAGAGUUUCUGAAUAUGUUCUACCUAAUUUGUAUUCAGGUUAUCACAUUUCUAAUCUGCCAACUGAAUGAAAACCACAAAUUCCUAAGGUGAAGUCCUGAACCAAUGCUGAAUUUCCGGUGCUUUAGUGUAGGUCCCUAGAGUAUUGUUUUUUAUGGGGUUUUUAAAAGAAAAUACUGGAUCUGAGAUAGGUGAAGGAGUGAGACACAGGGAAAAGAUAUAAAAGGCUCUUGAGCUAGCUCCCCAAUUUAACAUAAUGGUAGCUUCACAACACUCUAAAAUCCUAACAGACUUUUGUGUUUAUUCCAGAGCAAUUAAUUAUGUAUUAUUUUCUGCUUUCCUAAAAUUUUAAACACUAAUUAUAGUACCAGAGUUGAUCCUGAACAAAACAGGUUUUAAUUCAAUUGAUUUUUCCUUCAUUCUCCUUGUAAAUAAUUGUAUCAGAGUAUUAAAAAGCUGCCCGCUUUGGGGAGCUUUUAAAAUCUUUUAAAACAUCAUAAGUUUCAUAUUCUGCCUUUUCUUUAGUUAUUUGAGAAAGGAACUUUUUUUUGAGAAACUCACGUUGAAACUCGUUUUUAUUUUAGUUGACUGGGGGAGGAAUACACACUAUGGAACAAGUAAGGGAGCCUUAUAGGACAGAGAUGUUUAUGAUGGCUCAGUCAGAUGGAUGAAUUAUGAUUUUGUCAACUAGUGCAAAUUCUAGGUGGAAAAAAGGACAUGGCUGACUUUGCUGUUUCCGAGAACCUUAAAUUAAGAAAAAAAUCUUCGGCCGGGCGCGGUGGCUCAAGCCUGUAAUCCCAGCACU